rnacentral:rRNA from 1 species
AAGUGGAGCAAUCCAUGAGUAAAGUGGCGACCGGGUGAGUAACACGUGACUAACCUACCUUUCAGUGGGGAAUAACCUCGGGAAACCGGGGCUAAUACCGCAUAAUGUCUUCGGACCAAAGGAGCAAUUCGCUGGAAGAGGGGGUCGCGGCCGAUUAGCUAGUUGGCGGGGUAACGGCCCACCAAGGCAAUGAUCGGUAGCCGGCCUGAGAGGGCGCACGGCCACACUGGAACUGAAACACGGUCCAGACUCCUACGGGAGGCAGCAGUGGGGAAUUUUGCGCAAUGGGGGAAACCCUGACGCAGCAACGCCGCGUGGAGGAUGAAGCCCCUUGGG